ACGAGACUCCAUAAAAGGGUAAAUUUGCAAAUAUCAGUUCAUAAAUUCUGGGUUGAUUCUUGUAUAAUUUGUCCUAAGCUCCCGCCGCCCAGCUAUUAUUUGGGUCCAGAAUCUAAUUCAAGGAAGUUUUGGAUUUUCACUUAGCGGGUAACACUAAAUAAUCAGGUUCAUUUAAGUAUAGAUAGAGGACAAACGAAGGUGAUGUACAGGUUUGGAGAGGAAAUAAUCCAUUUUUUUAGCAGAUCUUUAAAAAUUUAGUUAAAAGGAUUCCAUACUAAGCUAAUGUCAACUGAUACAAAAGAAUAUAUAUAAUUAUCUACGAGCUCAUAUGACAUUUAAACAUAGAACUUUAAACUAACGUUUAACAAAUCUGUACAUAAACUUCAAAGACUAUGACUAUGUAUUGCCAUUUAAUCCAUCACAUGAAGCUUACACGAUCAGUUUCAACCAGAUUGAAUUUACUAUCACUAAAUACUACACCUUAUCAACAAUGUCCAAACAGUCUAAGAUAGUCUAACAACAGUCCAAAAUAUUCGAGGAACAGUCCAUAUUAUAUAGCCCAGGGUUCAUAUGCACACGAAUUAGAAUCAAAUCAUAUUAGACUCUAAUACCUAUUUUGCUAUUACUACAUAACAAUCCAAGCAAGCACAAUUCAGGAAUCAAAUCUCUUUCAUUUCAUCUCCACUUCAAAGUUACAUCAAACCAAGUUCAAGUGUACCUGGAUUAUAAUGAGAUAAAGGAGAAAAGGAAGGUUAGCAGCAAAGUUAGUAACAAUGUAGUAAUAGGAAUCAGCAACUCGUUGAUCAAUUAUACACCCAGAAACACAAGUAAAGUAGCCAAAAAGGACAAGUAGACCACCCAAACAACUUGAACAAAUCCAAACCAAAAGCAGAACUAUCCAGAAUAAACUCUCAAACUUCAACAAUCAGGACAUAAGGACAUUUAAUCUAGAAAACUCGAACCACAACUGUAUUUUGAGAUUAAUUUAAGGAAUUUCAGUAGAACAGAAAUUUUUAGGAAUUUUUCUCUUGUAUAUUUUUUAAGGUCUUUUAAUCUAGAAUGAACCUAGUUUUUGUAUUUUGAAAUUUAAAUUUCUAAGGCUAAGCCUACAGAAAAGGUUUUGGGGGGAAAAUUUGGAUGCUGGAGGUUUUUGGGGAAUUUUUCAGAGAUUCAAACUUUUUUGAAUUUUCAGAUGUGUAAAACUUGUGAAUUAAGGCAUUGGACAUGCCUUUUAUAGGAAAAGAUGAGGGCAUAACUCAUAUUUUUCAGUUUUGCAUUUUCAAUCCUUUCUUAACUUUUAUUUUUGCUUGAACAUCCCUUAUUUUUCUUUCUCAAGUUAUAGCCACUAACUUCCAAAAAUUCUGUUUUGAACCCUAUCUAGAAUGUUUCUGAGAUUUCUACUAGUUGCUACCAAGAUUCUUUCUAUCUAAAAGCUUAUACUACCCUAGAACCUUAAUCUCAAUUACUAACCCUACCCCAGCCUUGCUAUCCUUAUUGAAUUAUCAACUAUUACCAAAUCGAUUAAGCUAAUUAAUACUAACUAAUUAUGCUAAGCCUAAUAGUUAAUUGAAACCACACAGUGAACUAAAGAAUCAUUGACAACAAUCACUAAUUAAACUGAACUAAACUAAUUAACACUGAACUAAUCAUUUAAAUCAAACAACACCAAGUUGAAACCAACUAUGAAGAAUAAACGAAAAAAAUUAAAAUACAAAGCAAUAACUAAUCAUGGAUUCCUACUGUUGAAAUCAAACGAGCAAAUUACUAAAAAUAAAACUAAAUAUAUGAUAAAAAUCAGAAACCUAUAUUGAAACCCUAACUCACCACAAAAUAACAAAAGCAAUUCUGGACAAAAAAAAACAAAAUAAAAUAAAAACAGAGAAGAAAAAAAAUGAAAGAAAAAAAACAAUACAAGAAUGAAAAGACAGAGGACGAUGAAAUACCUUGAAAUAGGAUUAGGGUUCAAAUGCUCGCAUGAUUUCUUGAAUUUAAUCGUACCAUAACUUUCUCUAAUUACGUAUUUUCACGAGAAAACAUGUAACUGAAGGCUAUUAUAGCCCAAAAAUCAAUCAACCCCUAAUUAGGGUUCUGGCCGAAAUUUGAUUUGAAAUUCGAGGCUAUGGAAGAACGUUUGAAGGGAAAGCAAGACAGAUAUGGGAUGGGUAAUGCCUGGUGGUUAAGGGGUAUCGAUAGGGUUUUGGGUCAUACUUUAGAUCUAAUAUUCGAGAAGAUUGGUGAUGAAUUGAAGAAGAUGGUUUUUGGAGUUGGAAAGAGGAGGAAAAGGAGAGCUUUUGGUGGAAUUUUGGGGUCAUUUAAAGCUUCUCCGCCGGCAAAGGUGAUUUCCGGCCGGCGGAGGACGUUGUAAGGUAGUGGGAUACGUCGGGGGUGAUGGAUGUACGAGGAAGAUGAAUUUGUCUCUAAAUUUUGUAAAUAAAUUAUUACUUUUUUUAUGUAAUUUCUUUGAAUUGAGCUGGACCGUUUAUCAUGGGGAAUAGACGGACAGGAUUGAUUGAUAUCAAAAAGGCGUCGUUUUGCAAUGGCGGGUGGGAGGGACUGGAUCGGACUGUUGAUUUGGGCUAGUCUAGGCAAGGAGUUGGGGCAUUGGGCUGCGAUUAAUUUGAUAUUGGCCCAAAUACAAGCUGGCCUGCUUUUGUAUUUUACAUUACAUUUGUUAAUUUUCUUCUUUUCUUUUCUUUUGUAUUUUAUUUAAUUAUAUUUAUUUUGAAUUUUCUUAUUUUAUUAAAUGUGAGAUAUAAAAAUAAAAUAUCCAAAUUGACUCCAAAAUCAAAUAAUUAAAAUUCCAAAAUUAACUAGUUUUUUAUUUAAAAGAAAACUUAAGACAAAUUCUAAAAAAUGCGAAGAACCAUUUUUGUUAUUUUCUUUAUUUUUUAUAAUAUUAAAAUGCAUACUAUUUUGUAUUUUUUGAAUUAUAUCAAGUAAAAUGCACACAUAGAAUCCAGCAAUUAAUUCCUAAAAAAUUCAAAUAAGAAAAACCCUAAUUCUAAGGAAUUUUGUAGGAAUAAUGUAAGCGUGGAAAAUUCACGUGCUCACGGCUUGGAUAAGAUCUUUGGGUAAAAAGGUUCUUAGGCGGAACUACAACUUUGGAACCUUUUCGGCGGACUCAUGGCCGGACCAUUAUAACAUCUGGCCCAGUUACUUUUGGGGGAAUUUGGAUUUUUGUUUUGGUGUGACUGAACCCUAGAGAGAGGCGGCCUAUGUGUCCUUUCGGAUCAAGUCAAACGUAGUUCAGGGGAUACAUUUGUUUUUUGUUGUUUUUUUUCAUCUUUCUUUGUUUUCUUUUUUUUCGUUUUUUCUUUUUUUUUUCUACUUUUCCCCCUUUUCUUCAACAAUAUUUUCGGAUUCCAAAAAGGGUAGCCAAAGAAAGUUAACCGGCUCAAAGGAUUUUGCAAAGGGUUGAUAGUGUUUGGAUAGCGGGAAUGAAAGCCUCCGUCAUCUCAACUGUGCAAAGACAUCACUAGAGCAAGUUUAGACAUAGUACCUUUUUACUGCAUCUGCAUUCACCGUUGUUUCAGGAUCAUUUCCUUCGAUAUUAGUAUUUUUCUAGUAAUAUAUGGACCCUUCCAGUUAGGAGCAAACUUUCCUUUUGCUUCCUGAUGAUGAGGACGAAUGCGCCUUAACACCAGUUGUCCUACUUCAAAAUUCAUAGGUCAUACAUUCUUGUUGUAAGUGCGUGUCAUUCUUUGUUGAUACAAUUGCCCGUGCAACUGCGGCCAUCCAUUUUUUGUUAAUUAAAGACAACUGUUCCAGCCGAGUCUUGACCUACUCACUAUCCUCCAUUUUUGCAUCGACGAUUAUCCGGAGCGAAAGGAUUUCUACCUCUGUGGGUAUAGCAGCAUCAGUUCCAUAAACCAACAGGUAUAGGGUUGCUCCUUCCGAUGUGCCCCGAGUACAAUGCUCUUUUUAGCAGUACUCUCGUUGUAAUGUAUGGACCUUUCCAGAACCAUGAACCAAUUUUUCUUGAUUUGUUCCAACUCUUUAUUUUAUUUUCCUCAAACUUACCUUCUUUGUAUUUCUACUUUUGAUUCAUUAUUUCGAAGUCUGACAGCGUUCUUGGUAUUUGGGCAUGAAGUUUGCGAGCAUGUCAUGUUAUUUAAAGUUGCAUUAUUGGAAUUGAAGAGAAAUAAAAGAGAAAACAUAGCAACACUCAUAAUGAAUAAAGAAAAUGAACGAUGAAAUAUUGAUUUCAUUUCUUGGAAUUGGGAAGAUAACAGGGUUGACAUUCAUGAAUUUAAAGAUAGAAAACAUCCGAGUUACACCCUGGGAUAACUUGCGAUGCAGAAAAGAUGGCAGGACUUGUCUACCGGGACUCCUGCCUAAUCGGGAAUGGCAUAGCCUUCCAGUUUUGAAGCUUGGUGCUUGGUCCCAUGUAUAACAACGGUGCUAGUGCCCUUCCCUGGCUACACCAUGAGGGUUUUGUAGAGCAUUUUCCUUAUUGCCUCACGUAUUUCCUCACUUUCUUCAUCCGUGAAAACCUUAUCAUCUUCCUCUUUUACUUAAGCUUUUGUGGUGUGAAUCCAAUGCCCACUGGCUCACUCAGCCAAGGUGGUUUGAUUGUCCCCCGCACCACAUAGGCUUGCUUGGGUACGUACAUUUGUGUUCCUUUUUUCAAAUCAAUUUUCUUUUCCGGUUCUGUCUCAGUGAUUUUGCUCUUCUUUCCCCCUUCCUCUUGCUUCGAGGCUACUUUUGGCUUUCUUUCUGCAUCAACAAUAGAAAUUAUGGAUUUUAAGGCUGGAUCAAGCUCCCUAUCCUCACAAAUCAUCCCGAUUACCGGUUUGUUGUUGUGAGCGGGCAGUGGAUUAUUGGUUACAUUUGGGACAUCCUCAUGCUUCAAUACAAUUUUCCCUUGCUCUAUUAAAUUCUCCGCUGCUUGUUUCAACGUCCAACAGUUUUUUGUACUAUGCCCCUCAUAUCCUGAGUGAUAAGCACAUGGGAUGCCCCGCUGAUAGGAUGGUCCUUCAGGGUUUUGCCUAUUUUGGUUGUUUGGGUGGUUCCCGAGGAUGGAAGUUAUUCUGGGGAGGUUAAGGAUUAUAGUAAUUCUGGUGAGGAGCUGAAUUCUUUGGAAUGGAGGUUGAUUUAUGUUGGCCUGUGGUUGCGGUCGGGAAAAUGGUUGAGCAUUCAUGACCUCAUAAGUUGUGGGAGCAUAAGCAUAUCACAAUGAAGAUAGUAGUGUUGAGGAGUUAUUUUAGAGAACACAGGUUUAGGAAACCGAUAUCUUCUUCCCCCUGAAGCUGCCAUGAACGCUUCCUCUUUUGUCCUACCCUUUGACAUUCCUCCAAACCUGCCUUGGAUGGCUUGGGAGGUUGCUCUGAUGGCCGACUAACUCAAAAUCCUGCCCAUUUUCAAAUUGUUUUCUACCAUUUCACCAAUUUUGAUUGCUUCUGCAAGAGGUUUACCCAUGACCGACAUCAUGUUUUGGAAGUAAUCGGCUUCUUAGGCCUGAAGGAAGACAGUGAUCAUUUCUACUUAAUCUAUCGGAGGUUUCACCCUUGACGCAUGUUCAUGCCAAUUAAUAGCAUAUUCUCUUAAUCUUUCCGAAGGCUUCUUCUUCAAAUUCUCCAAAAAGUUCCUGUCUAGCGCGAUGUCAAUGUUAUAUUGAAACUGCCUUACAAAAUCUCUGGCAAGAUAAUCCCAAAUGUGCCAUCGUGAGACAUCUUUGUCCAUAUACCAUUCUAAAGCAAUGCCUACUAAACUCUCCCCGAAGUAAGCCAUCAACAACUCUCUUUUUCCGUCGGCCCCACACAGCUCAUUAUAGUACUUUUUGAAGUUAGCAAUGGGAUCGCCAUGCCCAUCAUACUUUUUGAACUUUGGCAUUUUGAAACUCAAGGGUAAGUCCAUGAUGACAUCCAAAUCCACCACUAAAAAGCAAAUCGGUUGCAUGCAAUAUAAUUUACCCAACUAUGAGUCGGGGUCGAAUCUCAUAGAGAACAAUGUGUAGGCGAUUAGGAAUGUAAGAAAAUUAUCGCUAGUCGCGCAAUGCCAAAAACUACUAAUUUUGGUUGAAAAUUGUUUUUAUAUAUAAAAUGCGGAAAUGUAAACUAACCUAGAAAGCAAGUAAAAUGAUCAAUGGCUACAAGUAUGAAAGCAUGGAAAAUUACAUUCAAGUAACGAUCCAAUGUAUUUCACGAUUUUACAAAUAUGAGCGAGAUUAUGUUAAUUAGCCACGGAUAAUAAUUCUUAAUAAACUUCUUCCGAAGACAAACAAGACUUCCUAAUUGAAUUAUCCCUAAUGACACUUAGAAGAUUAAGCACACUCGCAAGGCUACAAGUAGUUCAAUCGCUUUCUAAUUGAAUAAUCCCUAAUCACAAUUUAGAAGAUGCACACCCGGAAGGCUACAAGUAGUUCAAUCCUAUCCCUAGGUAGAAUCUAUAAAAUGAGGGUUAGAAGAUUAAGCACACCCGAAAGGCAACAAGUAGUUCAAUCCCAUCCCUAUGUAGAAUCUAUAAAAUGAGGGUUAGCGCCUCAAGUUCUUGUUAAUUAAUCUUUCCUAACCCCAAACUAUUUUUCCCAAAAUUAAUUCGGAGUUAAUGGGUGAGUCCUAGGGUUAGCUAAUCCCUUUAGAAAUAUUAAAGAACAAGAAUAGUUAAAGGAACAAUACUCACUUCAUAAAUAUAUAAAAAAACGUUCAAUACUUAAGCACAACAAGGUAUAAAAUCCACACUUUAAUUAUGAAUAUUCCCAUAAAUAAGAUUUAAGUAUUGGAUAAGAUACUACAUACUUAGAUAAACAAUACAAAGCAAGGAAAUGAAGAAAUAAACAUAAACGGGUAAGAAAAUCUUAACCACAAGCUUUAAUCUUCAAGACCCAAGUGUGUUUUGCAAACCCUAGCUCAAGAACUUGUUCUCUCUAGUCUCUAUGGACUGAAAAUAAGCCAUAAGAUCCUAAAAUAUCUGCUUGGACGAGUAUAAAACUGAUUUUGGGUGAGAGAAUAUGAAAGGACCCUUUCGUCUAGACCUGAUGCACUAUUUCCACAUCUGUGUACAAGUAACUGCAGAUGCGGUUCCGCAAAAGCGGUAAAACCAUCGCAUAAGCGGAAUUCCUCCAAUGUGUCAGGAAUCGCAUAAACGGAAAAUCAACCACUUUUGCAGUUCCGCGUAAGCUAAAUUUCAACCGCAAAAGCAGUUCUAGCCAGUUCCCCCAAAUCUGCAUAAGCGAUUAAAAAUCCGCAAAGGCGGACGUCGCUUCUGCGGCCAAUCUUCCGCAGAAGCGGAAAUCAAUCAAGGUUUUGCAUAGUUUCACCUUCUUUUUGCUCAAUUCCACUUCCAUUUAAUUCAAACCACUUCGUAGCAUCAUUUACCUAAAAAAUAAUAACCAUCAUAAACAACCUCAUUGUAUAAUUAAAAAUACAUAAAAGUUAAGGAAAAGAGGCUAGAAUGAAUGGUAAAAUCACCACUCAUCACCACCACCAACUUAAAGCUUUUGCUUGUCCUCAAGCGAAUGAAAACAAAAACUUCAAUGAGGAUUCACCAUUGAAAAUACAAGUGGUAUCGCCAUCACUUACAUAACGCAUUCUCCAAUUUAAACACCAUACUAAUGGAUUUGGUUGGUACUAACAAUUAUGGUCGAGUAUGCACAUCUUCCCCGAAUAACUCCCUCAUAAAGAAAAAAAACUUCAAGAAUGUGCAAGGGAGUUCAAGAAUAAUCAAGUGAUCAACAUAAGCCUCAAGAAGUGACUCGAAAGCACUAGUCAACUAAAAAUUGCUCAUUUUGCUCAAUUUCACCAAUCUUUCCUAAUUCAUCACAAGGAAGAAAGUCCCAAAAUCACUAUAUUUACAAUACAACAUUUGGGACAAAUUUAUUAAGAACAUUCACUUCACAAAGAACCUCAAGUGUUACGAUAUUUGAUUCUCACUUUGCUCAAUUUCACCAAUCUUUCCUAAUUCAUGUGCCCUCACAAGGAAGAAUGUCCCAAAAUCACUAUAUUUACAAUAUAACAUAAGGGACAAAUUUUUUGAAGAACACUCACUCUCACAAAGAACUUCAAGUGUUACAACAUUUCAUACCCUUAUUUAAUUCAUCACUUAUUCAAGAAUGCUCGGUUGGAGGUCUCAUAAGGCCUUUUUAAGCUUGUAAUGUAGGUUUAGGGAAGGGUUACAUAGACAUUUGGGCACAAGUGACUUCACCCUCCUUGAACACUACUCAUAAUUUUCCACUCUUUUGCACAUUGCUCAUUUUCAAACCCUCAUAGCCUUACUUUUAUUUAGCUCCAAUAUAGGACCACCUCAUCUACCUUUUCUAAUUUUUAUUCAAAACUCCAUACAUUUAUAUAUAUACACAUAUUUUCUCUUAUUUUUUUAUAUACACCUAUUUUUCAUCUCAUUUUUUUCUUUUGGAGCUUGAAUACCAAACAAAUACUUUUCAGGCAUGGGUCCUAAACUCACCAUACAACCUUACCAAUAUCUCCUUAGAAACCACCCCCAACUUAGGCUUUUAGCCGCAUUCUCAAUGCUCAAAGAGGGACGGGUUCAAGAGAGGGAAUUAUUUUUUAAAAGGGGAAAUGUUUGUAAUGAGUUGGCCAAAGAAAAUGUUUAAAGGCUCAAAUUGGGUACUACUGAUAUUAUUUAUGCAAAAGUAGGCUUAAAAGGCUAACGAGGUUUUCUAAAUACAACAAAGAAUUCCUAAGAUCUCAUUCCUCCAACCAAACAUAAUAUCAUUAGCAUUGAAAAACCAACUGGGGAAGUUCUAGAUGAUAGAAUUAAAUGCAAGAUUUAUCUGAACAAACACUAACACAUGGCACAUGAACUAAUCAAGAUGGAUCAAUGAUGUUUUGUAAUAUAGAUAUUUGGAGAAAUAUUUGAACUAGUAGGUAAAGAGUCACUAAAAAAGCCAAAACUUUAUCACAAGAAUUAUUUUGCACCAGGCACUUACUUGUUUUAAGUACAAAAGCAAAUUUUUGGAUGGGUAUUCUUAAUUUACAAUAUAUAUACAAGAGACUAAUAUUAUUAGUACCAAAUAAUCCAAAAGCCUCAUCGUAGAAAAGCAAGAUUAAUUCCCUUAAGAAUGUUGUUAAUCUAUCCAUCAUCGGGAAAAGUCAACCGGUUCACUUCAAAAGUAUUCCUAGGGAAAGAACCGUAGCAUGAAGAAAACCCAAGGAAGUUUGAUUUAAAAAAAUGAAAAUAAAACAAAAGAAAACUACUAUAAAGUAUACUUAAAUAAAAGAAGCUAAUACUACUACAAAAGUAAAAAAAUAUAAGCUAAUUAGAAGAAAAUUAAAUAAUGAAAGAAAAAUACAAACACAAACACGACUAAUCAAACCAAGCCCGGCAAGGGCACCUGCUACAUAUACUAGCCCGUCUAGGGCACGCAAUAUACAGAACAACAUCAUCACAAGCCUAAUAAGGGCAUACAGUAUCUACAAUAUAAGCAUAAGCCCGACAAGGGCACGUAAUCUCAAAUUAGGAAUACAGUACACAAUGUCACCCCCAACUAAAACAUUGUAGUGUCCUCACUGCACAAUAUAAAAUAUAAAGCAUUAAAAGUUUGAGGGUAUCCCUGAUGUCUGCAUCAGACUAGCAGAUUGUGGAAGGACGGAUGAUCAAUGCUGAGCUGCACUCGUAGCUCCAUCAUCCUCUGUCUCCUCCUCCUCAUCAUCAUCAUCGCCACUAUCACUAGCAGACUGUGAAAGGAAUGAAUACUCCUCACUGUCAUCUUCUGCUGCUAUUAGAAUCUUUUUAUAUGGUCUUCCCCACUUGAAGGUGGCUUUGAUGCCUCUCCACAUCUUGACCAUGAAUUUGUUCUUUCUCUUGUUCUUCUUCUUCUCCUUCUGAAAGCCCGCCUGAAGGUUAGCAUGGGCCUUGGCCAAAGUGCCAUAGGCUCCCUAUAGUUUGGUCACUCAUGCUGUCAUUUUCUUACUGUUCUCGUCCUGGCAUUUUUGAGCAUCAAAGUAACCCUGCAUAUCUUCCCUAGAGAAGUAACAAGGUCCAGGAUGUGAGGAGGAUGGCACACUCGGAAGCUGUGAUACUAACUCCUUAAUUGAUUAAUGCUCGGAGUUAAGUAUCCCAAAUGGCCUUUGAGGGGCUGACUCUGAACCUGUGGCUGUGGAAGUGACUUUUCUCUUUUUUCUUUUGACCACAAUUCCCUCUCCAGUAACUCUCAAGGGGUGGAAAGGUUUGUCAGCUGGCAGCCAACAAUCGGUGGGGCGGAUGGUAACCUCUGCUCGGGUGCAUAGUGUUGUAAUCAGUAAGGGGAACAUCAACCCUGCAUCCUUCUCUCUCGAAUACUCUCUUAAGUACUACCUCAUCUCCUGAAGAAUGAAGUACCCAACAUUCGCCUGAAUACUAUCCAAAAUGCAUGCUAUGAUCAAUGCCCGGGUAUAGGAGACAUCGAAAACAUUUCCACACGAACAUACUCAAUUGAUGAUGAUAUGCAACCACCUUUUGGCCUCGGCAGUAAAGUCAGUUGAUUUUAGCCCCUUUUAUUUUUUCCCCAUUUCUCCCUCACGUGCGGAGGGAAACGUUUGGAUACAAGCCACUCUCCAUUAUCAUAGUUAUUUUUCUCUUGCACCGGCUCCAAGGGAUAGUUUGGGAUUCCAAGGGUGUCAUUGACGUUCUUAAUCCCGAACCUCACCAUUUUUCCUUUGAUUAUGAUUUGUUGAUCAUCAAAUUUCGUACGCCUAAGAUUGGCGUAGAACUCGCGAACCCACAUCUCAUUGGCUUCACAAGGGGUGGCGAUGAAAUAGGACCAUCCGGAUGAAUAGAGCUAGGCAUGGAAGUUAGGAAGCUUUUCAGCCAAUUUACCCUCAAGUAUUCCCUUUUCAGGAAUCAUAUUUUUAUGGACGAGGUAGUCCAAUUAUUGACGCUCACAUGAAGCAGACAUGAAGCGCGAAUCAUCAUAAUGCUCAUCAAUCUCUUCCUGAAUUUUUUAUUGUGAUCCGCUUGGGUUUGGGUCCAUUUUUGAAUUGAAACACCUACAAAGAAUCAACACAAGAUUAUUCGGAUAAUAGAAUCAUGCUGAACAAUAUAAGACACUUCAUUUGAGCCAAAAAUUAGUUUGAAUGGGUACGGGAAGCACUGUUUGCAAACACACUAUUUUUGCAAAAUCUGGGCAAUUUCCGCUUCUGCAGAACUUAAACCGCAGAAGUAGUACCCCUUUUGCGGUGAAAAAGUCACUUCUGCGGUUCUCACGCAUUUGGACUAUUUGGCUUUUCAUUUCUGCGGAAUUUUUACCGCAGAAGCGGUUCCGCUUCCAUAGAAGUCCAACUGCUUUUGCGAUUUUCACUGUUCUUCAGAGAAAUCAGUGCUCAGUUGUUUUUUCAAUUCUUUUGCCAUUUCAACAAAAAUGUUGGCUUCAAAACAAAGAAUUAUUGCAUUAUAAUAGAACAUGAUUCAAUGGAGACCAAAUUUAUGCCGCUUCGCACAAGAUUUUCACUCAAACAAUGUGUCGAACACUUGCGAGCGAGUUAGGAUGAACCUUUCUUCACAAAAAUGGGGUAAUCAAGACUUCCCACCAUUUUUGUUCAAUUUAAUUACCACACAUACGUUUACACUCAACCAAAUCCUUACUUCCUAAAGCAAACAACAAGAAUCCAAAACAAAAAAAGAAGAAAAAGAAGAGAACAUCAAAUAAAUUAAAAUAAAAAGAAAAUUUCUGUUGUAACUGAGCAUUUGAGAAUGAGAAGUGUGAGAUGAGCAUUGAGAAGAGGAUAAGGAAGAUAAUACUUGAACUCGUGCAAGAGAAAUAAAUUUACGAGCAAGCUUGUUGAAUGUUGGGAGAAUUAUGUUCUUGGGGAGUUAGGGCAGGGAGACACAGUGUUGUUUUGCUUUUGAGGAAAAUGAACCGUUCAAAAAUGUUUUUUUUUAACAAUUAAACCUGGACGAUUUCGCAUGUGCAGUAUUUUUGUUGCUUAUGCGGUUCCGCAUAUGCGGUCAGAAAACCGCUUCUGCGACUCCAAUCGCUUUUGCGUUUAAUAUUUUGCUUCUGCGAGACUGCAGGUGCAGUCAAAAAGUCCCAUAUGCGGUUUUAGCAGAGAUUUCAUGAAUAGUGUUCUGCAGCUACUGGUUUUUGCCAUCCGGACCUCUGACCUAUGCAAAUUAACUGCAGAAAAUCUAAAACUUGGCACAUUAGUCAAAAAUAAUAUUCUAAGCUAUUAAAAAAAGAAAGUUUCAUAAAUGAUGUAAAAUUUUGAAAAAAAAUGGGUUGCCUCCUACCAAGCGCCGAAUUUAACGUCGUGGUACGACACAAAAACUUUACCACUUUUCUCGCCACUUUGAUGAUAUGAAUGGACACCUAGCUUGGAAUCAAGCUUGUGGCCACGAGCGACUGUGGGUGGUAAGUUGAUGAUUGAGCCAAUGCUUAAAAUCUUAAUUUUGCACUUCUUGCCUCUCAAGUGAGGAAUGUUAUUUUGAUUUCUUGCUUCCUCAAACUAUAAAAUGUAUGGCAUGAGUUUUUCUCCUCGGAGCCCUUCAUUGAUUCAUGUGCUUCAACUCUCGUCUCACCAGACAAUUCCAACGUUGAAAAGUGCUUGGAAUGUGACGUCAAGCCUUCACUUUGCAAUUUUUCUAUCUUGACAUCCUCUUUUUCCUCUGGAUUAGAGUCAACAUCAAACACAUUGGCAUUUACACCGGUUGACUCGAAUCCCAUAUUUUUCUUGGCAUCAUAACCCUCAUGGAGUCGGUUGGCGUUUUUUCAAUUCUUGAUUCCUCAAAGUAAAGCUCACUUUCUUCCUCUGAAUUUGACUCUUCUUGGCUUUCUUUCACACACUCAAGUUGUUGGGCAUAGUGAGCCUCAACCAAAGUUUGCAUUUGAUCUUCCAAAGUGUGAUAUGUUCAUCAUUGUAAUUCAAGCUUAGUUUCAAGUUCUGGAGUGCAAAUUUGUGCUUCUCCUCAUUUUCAAGAAUGGUCUCCAACAUAGGCAUUAUUUCUCAUUUUGAGCAUUUGAGAGUUCUUCUUCGUUUUGGUCAAGAAUUGUAAUACAAGCUUUGUUUCAAGUCAUCGAGUACAAAUUUUUGCUUCUCCUCAUUUUCAAGAAUGGUCUCCAACAUGAGCAUUAUUUUCUCGUUUUGGGCAUUUGGGAGUUCUUCUUGGUUUUGAUCAAGUGCCAAGAGAAAGGGUUUUCACUUUCAAUCUCCAAGGAAGGAUUUUGGUUUUUAUUCGCUUCCAAGGCUCUUUGAACCCUUGAGGCUUCGAUCAUUUCAUCCAUUUGUGAGUGCAAUCGUUGAAGUGCUAAAUCAUUUUGGAGACUAGUCUCCAAAUGAGUUCCAAUGCAUUUUGCUCCUUGUUUCCUUAUUCAAGUAGACACUCCAACAUGAGCUUGAACUCUCCAUUUUGGCCAUGCUCAACUUCUUCCAUUUCCCUAGCCCUAUUGUUUUCAUCACAAAAGGCACACUCAUUAUAGUAGGGGCUUGGGGAAGGGAAGGUCAAAUAUGCACAAUAAUCCCAAUGACCAUUUUGUACUCCAACCAUGGGGAUGAGAUUGUGUGCACAAUCCACCUCGGGGAUAAUUUAAACAAUUUUGCCACGAGUGUGGUCCUCCACAAUAAGGACAUGGGUCAUCAAAGUAUGAACAACUACCAUCUGACCAAUUAUCAUUAUAUGAUGCCAUUUUUAAAAAAUAACAAAAUAAACAAGAAAAAAACAAUAAAAGUAUACCCAAGGUAAGAAAAAUAAUUACACAAAUAUUCACAAGUUUGGACUAAAACACUUUCGCUUACUUCUCAAACAACCUAAAUUACGCCAAAUUAUUCCCCGAAAACAGCGCCAGUUUUGAUGGCGUCCAAAUCCACCGCUAAAAAUAAAUAGAAACGGUCGCAUGCAAUAUAAUUUACCCAACUAUGAGUCGGGGUCGAAUCCCACAGAGAAUAAUGUGUAAGCGAUUAGGAAUGUAAGAAGAUUAUCGCUAGUGACGCAAUGCCAAAUACUAAGAAUAUUAGGUUGCAAAUGGUUUUUAUAUCUAAAAUACUCAAAUAUAAACUAACCUAGGAAGCAAGUAAAAUGAUCAAUGGCUACAAGUAUGAAAGCAUCACGAAUUACCCCCAAAUAACAUUCCAGUGUAUUUCACGAUUUUACAAAUAUGAGCGAGUAUAUGUUAAUUGGCCACAACUAAUAAUUUUUAAUUAGCUUCUUCCGAAGACGAACAAGACUUCCUACUAGAAUUAUUCCUAAUCACAAUUAGAAGAUUAAGCACACCCGGAAGGCUACAAGUAGUUCAAACCUAUCCCUAGGUAGAAUCUAUAAAAUGAGGGUUAACGCCUCAAGUUCUUGUUAACUAAUCUUUCCCAACCACAAACUAUUUUUCUCAGAAUUAAUUCAGAGUUAAUGGGCGAGUACUAGAGUUAGCUAAUCCCUUUAGAAAUAUUAAAGAACAAGUAUAAUUAUUGAAACAAUAGCUCACUUCAUAAAUAUAUAAAAAUCAUUCAAUACAUAAGCAUAACAAGGUAUAAAAUCCACACUUUAAUUAUAAAUAUUCCCAUAAACAAGAUUUAAGUGUUGGAUAAAAUACUACACACUUAGAUAAACAAUACAAAGCAAGGAAAUGAAGAAAGAAACACAAAUCGGUAAGAAAACCUUAACCAAACUCACAAUCCUUCAUUGAUCCGUGUAGUUCGACUUCCGCGUCACCACACAAUUCCAACGUUGAAAUGUCUUGGAAUGUGACUUCAAGCCUUCACUUUGCAAUUUUUCUAUCUUGACAUCCUCUUUUUCCCCCGAUAAGAGUCAGCGCAAACCCUAGCUCAAGAACUUGUUCUCUCUAGUCUCUAUGGACUGAAAAUAAGCCAAAAGAUCCUCAAAAUAUCUGUUUGGAUGAGUAUAAACUUGAUUUUGGGUGAGAAAAUAUGAAAUGACCCUUUUGUCCAGGCCUGAUGCACUUUUUCCGCAUCUGCGUAAAAGUAACCGCAGAUGCGGUUCCGCAUAAGCGGAAACACCAUCGCAUAAGCGAAAAUCUUCCAAAGUGUCAGGAAUCGCAGAAGCGAAAUUUCAACCGUAGAUGCGGCUCUAGCCAAUUCCCCCAAAUCCGCAUAAGCGAUUAAAAAUCCGUAAAAGCAGACGUUGUUUCUGUGGCCAAUCUUCUGCAGAAACGGAAAUCACUAGAGGUUUAGCUUCACCUUCUUUUUGCUUAAUUCCACUUCAAUUCAAUUCAAACUACUUUGUAACAUCAUUUACUUAAAAAUAUAAUAAUAACCACCAUAAACAACCUCAUUGUAUAAUUAAAAGGACAUCAAAGUUAAGGAAAAGAGGCUCGAAUGAGUGGUACAAUCAUCACUCGUCAGUGCACAUGAGGGAACAAGCACAGAUCUAUAUAAGAAACACUUUUUUGCCCACUCAAUCCUUUUAUUUGCUUCCCUCGUAUUUCUUUUUCCUUCCUUUCUUUUUCAUAAGGUUACGGUCGAAUCUUAUGGAGAUUGCCUACGUAUCAUGACCCCGCAUGAAUCAGACCAAGCGUAGUUCUUAUAAAUAAGGUAAAUAAGCUAACCCUUUUUUUCUUUUCUCUUUUUUCAAUUAUUUGAAAGAAAUGCUUUAAGGGAAAUAUUUUUUUUCUUGAAAGAAAUACUUCUAAAAAUUCCUCUUCAAUUUUGUUGGAACUUUGGGAAUCUUGGAAUAAAUAUUUUUUGUUUGAAUUUUUAUUUUUUUUCUCUUUUUCAAACACGAAAGAAAAAUGAAUAUAUUUUUGGAUUUUGAAAUUUUCCUCUUAAUUUUGGGAAGAGGGACUUUUACAAAAAUAUUUUGGAUUUUGGAGCAAAAUGUAUCUUCAGACUCAAUUUUCAAAAUUUGUAUAUUUUUAUAUUUUUAUUUAUGGAAGACAUCUAAGGAGUAUUUUAAUGAUUUGUUUUGAUCUAAAAGGAAAAAAUUGGCUAUUUUUCAAAAAAAAUCUUUAUUUAGAAAAAACAGGGACUUGGUCUUGCAGAUACGGCUUUUCAGCACUUUUGGGAGGAAACUUUUAAGAUUGUGUCAGCAAACUAUGUAAAAAUGAAUCAAGGUGGUUGUUCUUGCAAAAACAGCUUCCCGACGUCCUUUUGGGGACAUUCAGCUUGCUUUAACAAGAAUGGAUCAUCCGACUUAUUUAUGACAAAAAUUAAAAUCUUGACCAUUUUUGGGCUAUUUAUGCAAAAGGAAGGUUGGACCUAAUGAGGGUUGCCUACGUAUCUCACAUUCGGUGAGAAUCAAACCAGCGUAGUUCGGGCAUAUUUGCCACAAUAUAAUGUAUAUUUUUUGAACAACAAUUUUUGUUUUCAAAUACUUUUUCUUUAUCCCAUUUUUCAAAAUUUGGCAGCAUUUCGAUACUAUUUGGACAUUGAUUUUUCCACGACAAAUAGUUACCCUCUUUUUGCCCUAACACUGCUAUUUUUCUCAAUUUUCUUUAUAUACAAGCCGGUCAACAUGCAAAAUCGAGCAAAUAAAUGCUCAAGUAGCACAUAAGAUGAAUCAGGAUGGUCAAUUCAUUUUAGGUCACAUGUCCUAGACGGAUCCAACUCCUAUGUUGAGUCCCCUAAGCCAAAUGAACAUGAUGCAAACAAACGUCCUACUAGGGAUCCGGCAUGAGGUUUUGUUCUUCUAGGUUUAAGCCCUAGGUUUAUUGGUCUAGACCUGGCUUACCCGAGCUGACAACACGAUUCGAGGGGGCAGCAAGCUCCGCCGGCUUUGCAACUUAUCCGAACCUCGUUCUAAAAUGGGACUGGACUCUAGACAGAAAAGAAGUCACACGAAGUGCACCGUUCUUCAUGGUUUAGAGGACUCAGAGAGAGGAUGGAUUUCGUAAUAGUUUAUAUACAUUUCACGAAAUAUUAAAAUGAUAAACAUUUAGCACAUACAACAUGAAAUAUGUAGGAAAAUCAGAUGAAGCCAAAUAAAACAAUUAUUCUAAGCUCGAAACUUAAACCCUGAACCGAAGUUCUGGAUUUGUAUCCCCAGCAGAGUCGUCAGAUCUAUCACACCUCCUUUUUUACACACCACCUCGAAGGAUAGAGUAUAAUGGAGUUUUUCCAUUUUAAGUAACAUUAUUCGAAUCAGAAUUAUUUAUUUAUUUAGAGUCGCCACUUGGAAUAGGUUUGGCUUUUGGAGUCCCAAGUCACCCGUUUAACUUGAAUCCCAAAUUGAGAAAAAUUUUGACUUCCCAGUUGAAGUCUGCAAACCAGAAAUUCUGAAUAAGGAAUUCUGUUGACCCGAAAGAAAGUGUUGGGAAUCCCCAGAUCCCGUGGUUCUAGCACGGUCGCUUAAAUUAAUAUAAUUGGCUAAAAUCUAAGUUUUAUACAUGUUCCAACCGACAGUGAAAUAUUAGGAGUAUUUACCACUUUUAGUUAAUUUUUGAGAAAGUGAAUGUCGUUAAAAAUGUGUUUUCAUAUCACGUCAAAUCAAAUGCACCCGGAUCCUUAAAACAUUCUUAUUCGACUUUUUGAGAUUUGGAUUUGGGUUGCAUGAAAUGCACACAAGUAUUUAAGAAAGUAAGAUUAUUAAAAGUGCACCUAAAAGCGACAAACGUAUUUUUAUCUUUGCGAGAGUCCGUGAAAUUUGCUAAACGGCACGUCCCGAAUUCUAAGUAUUUUAAUAUAAGUAUUUAAAGAAGGCCCCGCAAUUUAUGCAUUUUUAUUUGGCGAGACUCCUCUCAUUUUAUGAUGUGAAGGCAAACGUGAAAGCAAUCUAUCCUUUUUAUAUUAAAUUUGUCUUUAAAAAGACCUAAUUAAUUAAUAUUGUAUAGUUCGGGCCUCAAGUUCAAGCCCAGAUUCAAACAAAAGGGAGUAAUAUCCUAAUUUGAACCCGCUACCUAACUCAAAAGCCCAAAUUUAUAUUAUUUUAAUCCCCAUAUUACUAGUAUGAUUUUAAAGGACUUUAGACUUCAAACAUUUUUUGGUCUUGAAAGUUUGGCCCAGACUUGUAAUGUGAAGAUGUCCGGCAAAUGAGCUUCAGCGUGAUCCCAAUUUGCACGUGACUCCAUAAAUGGGUAAAUUGUCAAAUAUCAGUUCAUAAAUUCUUGGUUGAGUCUUGUAUAAUUUGUCCUAAGCUCCCGCCGCCCAGCUGUUAUUUUGGGUCCAGAAUCUAAUUCAAGCAAGUUUUUGAUUUUCACAUAGCGGGUAACACUAAAUAAUCAGGUUCAUUUGAGUAUAUAUAGGGGACAUACAAAGGUGAUGUACGGGUUUGGAGUAGAAACAAUCCAGAUUUUUUAGCAGAUCUUUAAAAAUUUAGUUAAAAGGAUUCCAUACUAAGCUAAUGCCAGCUGAUACGACAUAAUUUAUAUAAUUUUCUACGAGCUCAUAUGACAUUUAAACAUAGAACUUCAAACUGACGUUUAACAAAUCUGGACAUAAACUUUAAAGACUAUGACUAUGUAUUACCAUUUAAUCCAUCACAUGUAGCUUACACGAUCAGUUUC
rnacentral:lncRNA from 1 species